GGACUAUCUCUGAGCUGCCUAGUGCUAGGUUUACCAAGUAUGCACCACACCUAAACCUAAAGCCUUGCCUAAGUCAAGCUGCUAGAUCAAAGCCCCUCUUAAUAGUAUGGUCAAAGGAAAACAAAGUCCUAAACUACUCUAAGUGCCCUUCUUCACCAUAUGGCACUUAGACCUAGUCUAGUCUUGACGAUGUCCAUCCAUCCUUUGAAAACCGAAACGAUUUCCACUAUUAAGUAGGCAUGUACGUCCCUGUCCAUCGAGUACCUAUUUACCAUGACCUUACCUAUGACUUUGCCUCUGCAAAACACACGUUAGUCAUAGUAAUCGACAAUGUCAUUAAUCACUGAAAUCUCUAGGGGCCUAGAUGCUCUUUCACAAUCUGAUUAUCGCUUGUUUCUACGUGGAUUCCUACCAUGAUUAGAACAAAACAAGAGACAUACGCAAUAAUCUUUAUGCUCCUAUCAACUACAAGGAUGUGGUUGUUGUAAUUAUUUCACUCUCACCCUAUGCAAACAAGUUCUCACAAGUUCUUACCAAGCGAAACAGGAGGUGGCAGGAACCAACAAGUCAGAAAACCUAGAAAAUGGUGUAUCAACGCUGCAGCAACAACACUUGUCAAGUUGUAGUCUGAUAUGUGGAGUUAUAGGAUGGCUCUAUAUAUUGCACAAGGAAGUACUAGCACCACAUUAGUCACAAAAGCAUGUUGAGAAAUCAUUCAACGGUGGCACUGUGCUUGUCCUAGGCUAGACCGUGCUAGAGACGCGAGCCUGGGCACAGAUGAAGUCUCAAUAUCGCAAGAAUAAUAAGAACAACAAGAGAUAACUUCCCUUCUUUUCCUCUUCCUUUCUUUUCAUUCCUUUUUUUUCUUUUCUUUCCUUUUUCUUUUCUUUUUUCUGAUAUUUUUUUUGUUUCUUUCUAUUUUUUCCUACUUUGCUCAAAUAAAAUAAAUCUGAAUCUUGAUGGAUUAGAUUUCAGAAAACACACAAUGUCUUUAGUGUAACAAAAAUAUAACUAGCAGAUUAUGAUGGUGAUAUGAUGCUGCAGUAACACUGAUUGCAACGGGGAUGAGAAAAAUAGAAUGUGAAAGAAGAGUGGAGGAGAGGCAAAUGGAUGCGCAUGAAGUGGACAAGGAUGCAAUGUUCUAAAAUUAGAUGCCCAAGAGUGGAAUAAAUCUAGUGGUUGCAAUAGGAUGCUGAUUAAAAAUAGGAUGUUGAUUAUAGAAUGUGCAAGAGCGCUUACAAUAGGAUGUAUGAAUGGAAGAAAGGAACAUGCAGGUGGCAGUGAGUAAGAAUAGGUUGCUCACGGGUGGAAGUGAAAACAUGCAUGCAAUGGCCUAAAAAUAUAGGGUGCGCAUGAGUGAAAAGAGAGUGGUGGAUGGAAUUUACACGGUGCCCAAGUAGGGUGGUGAUGGUAGUUCAGAUAUAUAGUGUAGUCCAAAUGUAUAUGGUAAUAGUGAUUGCAGUGGAGAUUAUACGAUGGGCAAUGACUAAAACGUGACAAAAACUCGAAACUCUAAAAGUCUAAACCUAAGACCAGCAAUUCGACUCGACCGAUGUAAAUCAAACACAACUUGCCUGAACUAAGUAGUGCUAGUAAAAGGCUCAAAGGGUCUGAAAGGAUCAAGAUGCCCAAGAGGGGGGUGAAUUGGGCUUCUCUUAAAAAAUUAAGCAACCUAUAAGCUCCAAUUCAACCCCUUGUGCCUAGUGUGACCUAGAGAGCUACCGGAUAAAAAGUUUUGCAACCUAGUUCCAAUCCUAAUCUAGCAUGGCAAUUCUAAGAAUGUAAAAACACAAAGUAGAUGCUAGAAUGUAAAGGAGUAGUGGAAGAAAGUGCUCGGCGAUGUUUUGCCGAG
rnacentral:lncRNA from 1 species